CUUUGCCAAGUGUUUCUGGCACUCGGCAUAGGGUGCGAUUCCAGUAGUGAAUAACAACUCAGGCGCUACUCGCUUCUUCGACAACUCGGGUGGCGGGUUCCAAUGGUGGCGGCUUAUCCAAUGGUGGUGCAGCGUGCAGGUAGGAUGGUGAUCGCGGUAACCGUGAAAGCUGCUAGAUAUGCAAGGAGGAAGGGCACGGUGCAUGGCGAUGCAAAAAGCAGAAUGACAAAGGCUACAACAACAAAGUUUGCCAUCCAGCAAGUGGCAGCAAUGACGGCGGUGGGGGCGAUGGUGGUGGACAUCACCGUCUUGCCAACGCUGCCCACUCCUAUGACGUAGAUACUAACUGGUAUCUUGACACUGGCGCGACGGACCACGUCAUUGGUGAAUUGGAGAACCUUGUUGUUCGCGAUCGCUACACCGACAAAGAACAAAUUCACACCGCGAGCGGGUAAGGCUACCAGGAGAACAAUACUUUAAAACAAGAGUAGAUGGGGCUUGUUUCGAGUGACCGGACGACAGAGUGCUCCUCAACGGCAAGUGCUUGGCGCAACCAAAUCAUCCAUGGCUUGGUGGCACAAGCGUCUAUGGCAUCCCUCCCUUCCGGUAGUCCAGAAAAUUCCUUGAGAUUUUAAUCUCGCCGUGUCCAAUGAACAAGAUCAUGCUUUAGCUUGUCGGAUGGCCAAGAGCCAUCAACUGCCUUAUUCUUGCCCAGUUAGUGAAUCCAAAGCUCCUUUAGAGCUCAUUUUUUCAGAUGUGUGGGGGUCCUGGAACCGUUUCUCUAGGCAGACAGAAAUAUUAUGUCAGUUUUAUCGUUGAUUUUAGCAACUUCACUUGGAUCUAUUUGCUCAAUAAAAAAUAUCGAUGUAUUUAAAAAA